rnacentral:rRNA from 1 species
CGUAGGGUGCAAGCGUUAAUCGGAAUUACUGGGCGUAAAGCGUGCGCAGGCGGUUUUGUAAGACAGGCGUGAAAUCCCCGGGCUCAACCUGGGAAUUGCGCUUGUGACUGCAAAGCUGGAGUGCGGCAGAGGGGGAUGGAAUUCCGCGUGUAGCAGUGAAAUGCGUAGAUAUGCGGAGGAACACCGAUGGCGAAGGCAAUCCCCUGGGCCUGCACUGACGCUCAUGCACGAAAGCGUGGGGAGCAAACAGGAUUAGAUACCCUGGUAGUCCACGCCCUAAACGAUGUCAACUGGUUGUUGGGUCUCUACUGACUCGGUAACGAAGCUAACGCGUGAAGUUGACCGCCUGGGGAGUACGGCCGCAAGGUUG